rnacentral:rRNA from 1 species
UACGUAGGGGGCUAGCGUUGUCCGGAAUUACUAGGCGUAAAGGGCGCGUAGGCGGCACGGCAAGUCAGGAGUGAAAGCCCUGGGCUCAACCCGGGAACUGCUUUUGAAACUGCCGAGCUAGAGUGCGGAAGGGGCAACUGGAAUUCCCAGUGUAGCGGUGAAAUGCGUAGAUAUUGGGAAGAACACCUGAGGCGAAGGCGGGUUGCUGGGCCGACACUGACGCUGAGGCGCGAAAGCCAGGGGAGCGAACGGG